UACGUAGGGUGCGAGCGUUAAUCGGAAUUACUGGGCGUAAAGUGUGCGCAGGCGGCCGCGCAAGUCGAGUGUGAAAGCCCCCGGGCUUAACUUGGGAAUUGCGCUCGAAACUACGUGGCUGGAGUGUGGCAGAGGAAGGUGGAAUUCCACGUGUAGCGGUGAAAUGCGUAGAGAUGUGAAGGAACACCAAUGGCGAAGGCAGCCUUCUGGGCCAACACUGACGCUCAUGCACGAAAGCGUGGGGAGCAAACAGG
rnacentral:rRNA from 1 species